UUGCUCUUCAACGAGGAAUCCCUAGUAAGCGCAAGUCAUCAGCUUGCGUUGAUUACGUCCCUGCCCUUUGUACACACCGCCCGUCGCUACUACCGAUUGAAUGGCUCAGUGAGGCGUCCGGACUGGCCCAGGGAGGUGGGCAACUACCACCCAGGGCCGGAAAGCUCUCCAAACUCGGUCAUUUAGAGGAAGUAAAAGUCGUAACAAGGUCUCCGUUGGUGAACCAGCGGAGGGAUCACUACCGAGUUUACAACUCCCAAACCCAUGUGAACAUUACCUCUAUGUUGCUUCGGCGGAGCCGCCCCGGCGCCCGGAACCCCCUGCGGUCCCGCGGCCCGGAACCAAGGCGCCCGCCGGAGGCCACAAACUCUUCUGUUUUUACAGUUUCUUCUGAGUGUGCCGCAAGGCAGUAUACAAAUGAAUCAAAACUUUCAACAACGGAUCUCUUGGUUCUGGCAUCGAUGAAGAACGCAGCGAAAUGCGAUAAGUAAUGUGAAUUGCAGAAUUCAGUGAAUCAUCGAAUCUUUGAACGCACAUUGCGCCCGCCAGAAUUCUGGCGGGCAUGCCUGUUCGAGCGUCAUUUCAACCCUCGAGCUCCCCUUUCGGGGGGAGCCCGGCGUUGGGGACCCGGCGCUAACAACGCCGGCCCCGAAAUGGAGUGGCGGCCCGUCCGCGGCGACCUCUGCGUAGUAACAACCACUCGCACCGGGACCCGGGCGCGGCCACGCCGUAAAACACCCCACCUUCCGAAUGUUGACCUCGAAUCAGGUAGGAAUACCCGCUGAACUUUAGCAUAUCAAUAAGCGGAGGA
rnacentral:rRNA from 1 species